AUAAAUAUAGCAUAAGUAAUGCAACUAUAAAUGUAGUAGGUGAUGCAGGUUCAAGUCCUGCUAUUUAUACCA
rnacentral:tRNA from 1 species